UGGCGAACGGGUGAGUAACACGUGGGCAACCUGCCCAAAGAGGGGGAUAACACUUGGAAACAGGUGCUAAUACCGCAUAACCAUAGUUACCGCAUGGUAACUAUGUAAAAGGUGGCUAUGCUACCGCUUUUGGAUGGGCCCGCGGCGCAUUAGCUAGUUGGUGGGGUAAAGGCUUACCAAGGCAAUGAUGCGUAGCCGAACUGAGAGGUUGAUCGGCCACAUUGGGACUGAGACACGGCCCAAACUCCUACGGAAGGCAGCAG
rnacentral:rRNA from 1 species